AGGACGAACGCUGGCGGCGUGCUUAACACAUGCAAGUCGAACGGUAAGGCCCCUUCGGGGGUACACGAGUGGCGAACGGGUGAGUAACACGUGAGCAACCUGCCUCUGACAUUGGAAUAACAGUUGGAAACAGCUGCUAAUACCGGGUAUGACCUGUCACCGCAUGGUGGUGGGUGGAAAGCCUUGGCGGUCAGAGAUGGGCUCGCGGCCUAUCAGCUAGUUGGUGAGGUAAUGGCUCACCAAGGCUUCGACGGGUA
rnacentral:rRNA from 1 species